AGCGAACGCUGGCGGCAGGCUUAACACAUGCAAGUCGAACGGGCUUCUUCGGAAGUCAGUGGCAGACGGGUGAGUAACACGUGGGAACGUGCCCUUCGGUUCGGAAUAACUCAGGGAAACUUGAGCUAAUACCGGAUACGCCCUUUUGGGGAAAGGUUGACUGCCGAAGGAUCGGCCCGCGUCUGAUUAGCUUGUUGGUGGGGUAACGGCCUACCAAGGCGACGAUCAGUAGCUGGUCUGAGAGGAUGAUCAGCCACACUGGGACUGAGACACGGCCCAGCCCCCUACGGAGGGCGGCAGUGGGGAUUAUGGAACAAGGGGCGAAGGCUUGACCCAGCCGUGCCGGGUGGGUAAUAAGGCCCUUAGGGUUGAAAAGCUUUUUUUCCCGGGACGAUAAUGACGGUACCGAAAGAAAAAGCCCCGGCUACCUUCGU
rnacentral:rRNA from 1 species